GACCCCAGCAAUGGGCAAAGAGACACUUUGUUGAUGGUGUUGUUCUUCUGUCAGUCCAGGGCAGAGUAAAUGGCAGUCCUUUGUUCAUCCUAGCUUGGUGUUUGGCUUGAUGGCCAAAGCGGUCUUAUGUGUAGGACUCAAAA